rnacentral:rRNA from 1 species
CCUACGGGUGGCUGCAGUGGGGAAUAUUGCACAAUGGGCGCAAGCCUGAUGCAGCCAUGCCGCGUGUGUGAAGAAGGCCUUCGGGUUGUAAAGCACUUUCAGCGGGGAGGAAGGCGUUAAGGUUAAUAACCUUGUCGAUUGACGUUACCCGCAGAAGAAGCACCGGCUAACUCCGUGCCAGCAGCCGCGGUAAUACGGAGGGUGCAAGCGUUAAUCGGAAUUACUGGGCGUAAAGCGCACGCAGGCGGUCUGUCAAGUCGGAUGUGAAAUCCCCGGGCUCAACCUGGGAACUGCAUUCGAAACUGGCAGGCUAGAGUCUUGUAGAGGGGAGUAGAAUUCCAGGUGUAGCGGUGAAAUGCGUAGAGAUCUGGAGGAAUACCGGUGGCGAAGGCGGCCCCCUGGACAAAGACUGACGCUCAGGUGCGAAAGCGUGGGGAGCAAACAGGAUUAGAUACCCCUGUAGUC